UACGUAGGCAGCAAGCGUUGUUCGGAAUUACUGGGCGUAAAGAGUGUGUAGGCGGUGCUCUAAGUCUGUUGUGAAAUCUCCCGGCUUAACUGGGAGGGUGCGGCGGAGACUGGAGUGCUAGAGUGUGGGAGAGGUAAGCGGAAUUCCUGGUGUAGCGGUGAAAUGCGUAGAUAUCAGGAAGAACACCGGUGGCGAAGGCGGCUCUCUGGGCCUUACCUGACGCUGAGGAGCGAAAGCGUGGGGAGCAAACAGG
rnacentral:rRNA from 1 species